UACGAGUGCCCCAAGCGUUAUCCGGAAUUAUUGGGCGUAAAGGGCGAGUAGGCGGUUAUAUUAGUCUUGUGUUAAAGCCUUCGGCUCAACCGAAGAAAUGCAUAGGAAACGGUAUAACUAGAGUGUGUGAGAGGUACGUAGAACUCAUGGAGUAGGGGUGAAAUCCGUUGAUACCAUGGGGAAUACCAAAAGCGUAGGCAGCGUACUGGCACAUUACUGACGCUGAAUCGCGAAAGCGUGGGUAGCGAAUGGG
rnacentral:rRNA from 1 species